UACGGGGGGAGCAAGCGUUGUUCGGAUUUACUGGGCGUAAAGAGCGUGUAGGCGGUUCGGUAAGUCUGCCGUGAAAACCUGGGGCUCAACCCCGGGCGUGCGGUGGAUACUGCCGGGCUAGAGGGUGGUAGAGGCGAGUGGAAUUCCCGGUGUAGCGGUGAAAUGCGCAGAUAUCGGGAGGAACACCAAUUGCGAAGGCAGCUCGCUGGGACGUUACUGACGCUGAGACGCGAAAGCGUGGGGAGCAAACAGG
rnacentral:rRNA from 1 species